CGGAUAUCGGAGGUGAGAUACUCUGAUAAAGACGAUGGUACCACAUGCAUUAGAGGUGUCUAGAGGACAUAACAUGAAUGUGAAGCAUUAGAUUGCAUUAGGGAUUAUGUGUGCAUUUUAUUAUAAAUGUUGUUUGACACAUACUUGGUAAAUGUUGAUUGUUAAUCCGUAUGUGAGGAGCAGAGUCCGUCAUGACUAUAAAAUGAACAACGCAGGGUCCGUCAUGACCAUAAUCUGAACAAUGUAUUUGUGGUGUUAGAUUACAUUAGGAACUUUAUGUAUAUCCCUAUUUGUAAUUGAGUUAUGUGAUAUGUGUUGAUGUUUUGGUAUUGUCCGAGACGACGUGAAAC
rnacentral:lncRNA from 1 species